rnacentral:rRNA from 1 species
GAUGAACGCUGGCGGCGUGCCUAAUACAUGCAAGUCGAGCGAACAGACGAGGAGCUUGCUCCUCUGACGUUAGCGGCGGACGGGUGAGUAACACGUGGAUAACCUACCUAUAAGACUGGGAUAACUUCGGGAAACCGGAGCUAAUACCGGAUAAUAUAUUGAACCGCAUGGUUCAAUAGUGAAAGACGGUUUUGCUGUCACUUAUAGAUGGAUCCGCGCCGCAUUAGCUAGUUGGUAAGGUAACGGCUUACCAAGGCAACGAUGCGUAGCCGACCUGAGAGGGGGAUCGGCCACACUGGGAAUUGAAACCCGGCCAGGCCCCCUAGGGGGGCAGCAGUAGGGAAACCUCCGCAAUGGGCCAAAGCCUGACGGGGCCACGCCGCGGUAGGGAAGGAGGGCCUCGGAUCGUAAAACCCUUGUUAUAGGGAAGAACAAAUGUGGAAGUAAACAUGCACGUCUUGACCGUAACUAAACAAAAAGCCACCGGCAAACACGGGC